rnacentral:lncRNA from 1 species
GGCCAAGGGCCAAGGGAGAGACAGAGACCUGGGCACCGUGUGGCACAAUAAGGACAACGUGCAUAUGCAGGGUACUCACCUCGGUUUCCAGCCCAGAGGCCCCGAGUCCCUGGCGCUUUCCUGGUGAUAGCAGCAUCUUUGACUCCUGUAUUGGUCUUCAUCCCUGAAUCCCAAGUUCUCAGAAUUUCUGGUGACAGCAGCGCCUUCCGGCAUGACCAGGACAUCGGGAGAAGCACGCGGGAGUGCGGAGUGAAGAGGGAGAGCUCGGGGAGGCGCUGGAACCAUCCGGCGGAGUACCAGUCGGUCUGUGGCAGCUGUCCCGUUCCCCCCGCUCUGGGUGAGAGUUGUUCUGAAAAGGUUUCCCCCACACACACAUAGGAUAUUUUGCUUACAAUCUUCCUUAAUUUCUUCCCCUGAUAAUUAAAAGAAUAGGUUGAAAUAUAGGCUUACAUUUAAAAAGAUAUUUGUUCUCCUUUUUAAAAAAAAGUCAAGGAAAGUUUGGUUAGACAUUUGAGGAUGUUAGUUUUGGAGACAAGUGGAAAGUAACUUUCCACUAAGUUGAUCUAGAAACUUAAAUUUAUGUUCAUCAAGCGACCUCAGAUUAAGGCCGGGUGUGGCGGUGCAUGUCUUUAAUCCCAGCACACGGUAGGCUGAGGCAGGAGGAUUGUUGUAAAUUCGAGGCCAGCCUGAAGUACGUAGGGAGAGGGGAGGGCGAGGAGCGGGGGGGUGGGCAGAAGGUGGUGGCAGCUUAAAUUGUAGAACACAAUUACUUCAACCUGUAAAGAUUUUUCAGUGUUUUAUUUAAGCAAUAUUUCAGAAACUGUUGUUUCAAAGAAAGUUUUGUUCAAGUACACAGUCUCUUUCACUUUCUCACAACUGUUCUGUUUCUUUUAUAUUCAAAUAAAGUUCAGUACAUUACCUGCAUGUGGUAAGGCUCCUUGAGAUACAGACGUCACAGCUAGGGAGAAUUCUGAUUGGUCCUCUCUUGGUUGAGUUACAUGCCUUGAACCAAUCUGGGUGGCAUAUGAGUGGAGGAGGGUUCUGAUAGGCCAGACCUAGGUCAUGGGCCCACCCUCCGGCAGGGGGACCCCAAGUUUAGCCUAUUGGAUGGUUUCUCAGGAAAGAGGGUUUCUGCUGCAAACAAGGGCCUGAGGAUUAUGGGAGAAACCAAAACAGAUAUCCACA